AUCUUGUUUUUUCUUCAUCUCUUUUUAUUCUGUUUGGUUUCUCUGAUCGAGGAAAAUCGAGGAAAAUUUGUAUCAAACUUGACAUUAGUCCUUGUUCUUUUUAAAUAAUUCCUGAUUCACCUGUGAGUUGGCAAAUUCUAUUCAUCCUGCAUUUUCCCGGAAGCCAAACAGGAGACUUAAAUGUUUUUAAUUUCGAAAAUUUUGUUCUCUUACGGAAAUAUUGAAAAAAUACACGUUACGGAAAUAUUGAAAAAAUACAUGUCUUUCAGUUGAUCCCUUUAUUCUCUCCGAUAUCCCCUUAAUUUUUUUCUAACGUCUUUUUUCCUUUACCGGCUGUUAAUUUUCUUUCUUAUUCUGUUCCGGCUUUAUCUCUGUCAUAUUCCGACUCGGAAAAAGAUAUUUUCCGGAUAUCCUGUCUUUUCUUAUUCCGGUUCUCAAUAUUUGGCUUCCGGUUUAUGGGUUUUAGUGGCCGGUUCAGCUAUUUUUUCUUGUCUGGACCGGCCAACCUGUCAUACUUAUUCCGUCCAGGGAUAUCCCAUUCGAGGGAUAUCCCGGUUCGUUGUUAUCCCGUAUUGGUAUAUCCCGGAUUCGGUAUAUCCCAUUCUGGGAAUAUCCCGAUUCCCCACUUUUUUUUCCUCAAGUCUCUUUAUCUUCUUUGUCUUUAAUUUCUCAAAAAAAAAAAAGCAAUUUAAAGAAGGUAUUAAUUACCAUAAAUGUUACCGUUGUCACAUGGGGAUUUAGAAAAUUAUGUUCUCUCUCUUCCCUUCAUAGCUUCCCCAUUUCUUCACCUAUUCAUCCAGCUCUUCAAAUUUAUUUUCCUUUAUUUAUUUCCCCUUUUUUUCUCUGUUGUUUUUCCAUUCUUUGAUCUCUGUUAAUUCGCUCUUUCGUUUUCUUUAUUCUCUUUCCCUUCCUUUCUUGUCCUUUCGUAACAAACCCCAGACACUGCCGCGCCAUCAACACCUUCCAGCGUCUUACCUCCGAUCAAAGGUCAGUUUUGAAUCCUCAAAUCUAUCUCUUCUAUCCAUAGCACCCCAUUUAUUCGCCGACUCCCUCUCUCUCUCUCUUGUCUGUUUUGAAUUUCUUCCUCUCAUUUUUUUCUAGUUUUGGGUGCACAGAAAGACGCUACACUAGGUUUUCUCUGCCGUUUCUGGUUUUUGUGAUUUUUUGAAUUUCUCUGCUUCAUCGGUGACUGAUUUCAGUCCAGAUAGCCUACUGGUCUCGUGGAUAAAAAACUGCUUCCUGGGAUAUGUAGUACUCCUCCUGUCCAUAAAUAACUGUUUUUAGUUAGUAUCUUUCUUGCCCUGUGUAUACAUUCAUGGAUUCCUUUCAUCUCUUUUGCAGGUGCAAAAUUUAUAAUAAAUAGAAGUUGGAAACCGCUUAU